rnacentral:rRNA from 1 species
AGAAUCAACGCUGGCGGCGUGCCUAACACAUGCAAGUCACACGAGAAAGGGUAGCAAUACCUGAGUAAAGUGGCGCACGGGUGAGUAACACGUGAAUCAUCUACCUCCGAGUGGGGAAUAACCUAGAGAAAUCUGGGCUAAUACCGCAUAACACUUACGAGUCAAAGCAGCAAUGCGCUUGGAGAGGAGUUCGCGGCCGAUUAGUUAGUUGGCGGGGUAAUGGCCCACCAAGACGAUGAUCGGUA